UCAAGGGCUUGUGUCAGCAAGUAAAGC
rnacentral:piRNA from 1 species